CACUCCUGCGGGAGGCAGCAGUGGGGAAUAUUGCACAAUGGGCGCAAGCCUGAUGCAGCCAUGCCGCGUGUAUGAAGAAGGCCUUCGGGUUGUAAAGUACUUUCAGCGGGGAGGAAGGCAAUACGGUUAAUAACCGUGUUGAUUGACGUUACCCGCAGAAGAAGCACCGGCUAACUCCGUGCCAGCAGCCGCGGUAAUACGGAGGGUGCAAGCGUUAAUCGGAAUUACUGGGCGUAAAGCGCACGCAGGCGGUCUGUCAAGUCGGAUGUGAAAUCCCCGGGCUCAACCUGGGAACUGCAUUCGAAACUGGCAGGCUUGAGUCUUGUAGAGGGGGGUAGAAUUCCAGGUGUAGCGGUGAAAUGCGUAGAGAUCUGGAGGAAUACCGGUGGCGAAGGCGGCCCCCUGGACAAAGACUGACGCUCAGGUGCGAAAGCGUGGGGAGCAAACAGGAUUAGAAACCCUUGUAGUCCCA
rnacentral:rRNA from 1 species